rnacentral:rRNA from 1 species
CCUACGGGGGGCAGCAGUGAGGAAUAUUGGUCAAUGGACGCAAGUCUGAACCAGCCAUGCCGCGUGCAGGAAGACGGCUCUAUGAGUUGUAAACUUCUUUUGUACGAGGGUAAACGCAGACACGUGUAUCUGUCUGAAAGUAUCUUACGAAUAAGGAUCGGCUAACUCCGUGCCAGCAGCCGCGGUAAUACGGAGGAUUCAAGCGUUAUCCGGAUUUAUUGGGUUUAAAGGGCGCGUAGGCGGUUGGUUAAGUCAGUUGUGAAAUCCGGAGGCUCAACCUUGGAAUUGCAACUGAUACUGUUCGUCUAGAGAAUAGUUGCGGUAGGCGGAAUGUGUGGUGUAGCGGUGAAAUGCUUAGAGAUCAUAAAGAACACCGAUUGCGAAGGCAGCUUACCAAGCUACGACUGACAUUGAGGCACGAAAGCGUGGGGAGCAAACAGGAUUAGAUACCCUGGUAGUC